ACGUGGAAAUUAUUUUUAAAAAACUGCCGUUCAAACCGAAAAGAUCGUAAUUAAUUCAAUUUUACUUUACAUUGUUUAAUCUUUCUUGAUCUUAGCGACUUUGUUUUUAUAUCUGAGUAAAUGAUUAAAUUUUUUAAUGAAUUUCUUCUACUGAAUAAUAUCCUCUUGAUAUUCUAACCCUAACAAAAAUGUGUCAAUAACAUAAAUAUUGUAUCUGAAAUAUCGUAUCCUUCUUAAUAUUACAUAACGAAACAGCGGCUACAGUCUUACAGUCAGCUUCACUUCUUCCGUGUGAUAAACCAGGAAUAUCUAAUUAAGCUCUUAUGUCGCAUUAAUUGGUUAAAACCAUUUGUAGACCUCAAUCUAACAAUGAAAUCAUUUCUUCGGAAAAAAAAAUACCAGAUGACGUUGCCAUGAAAGAUGCAUCAUCAAUAUAUAUCGUCAUUUACAACUAAAGGAAGAUGUUAUGCAGAAGAGUUUCAACACACUGUUUCUAUGAAUUUAUCUUUGAGUUACUGAGAGUUGCUUCUUCUGAGCGAGACAUUUCUCUUUCAUCUC